CAGAAGCCCUGGAGCUUCUGUAUUACUUAUGGACCCAGCCGAAAACAGAUGGCACAUUUAAUCAGGAUAACAGGACUAUUUACAAAAUUGUAGGGGGAAAAUGUGGCAUUCGGGGGCUAGUAAUAGGGACACAGCAGGAUGAAGAAUAGAAGACAGUAGAUCUGGAGCGGCUAACAGAAGAACCCGGUGUCUCAGUUGAUUUAGGCUGCCAUAACAAAAUACCAUACUCUGCGUGGCUUAAGCAGCCGACAUUUCUUUCUUACAAUUCUGGAGGUUGGAAGUCCAAGAUGAGUGUGCCAGUGGGAUUGGUUCCUGGUGGAAGCUCCCCAUGACCUUGAUACACCCUCAAGAUCUAGAGACUUGAUAUUUUGCACUUACAAUUGAGUUGUAUUUACUCACUGUCCCGGCAAGUGACACCCC